UACGUAGGGGGCAAGCGUUGUCCGGAAUCAUUGGGCGUAAAGAGCGUGUAGGCGGCCCGGUAAGUCCGCUGUGAAAGUCGGGGGCUCAACCCUCGAAUGCCGGUGGAUACUGUCGGGCUAGAGUGCGGAAGAGGCGAGUGGAAUUCCUGGUGUAGCGGUGAAAUGCGUAGAGAUCCGGAGGAACACCAGAGGCGAAGGCGGCCUACUGGGCUGCACCUGACGCUGAGCCGCGAAAGCCAGGGGAGCGAACGGG
rnacentral:rRNA from 1 species